rnacentral:rRNA from 1 species
GAUUUCUGGCGAACCAUUGCGGCCCGUACUCUUUGCGGGCGUGAGUGCCGUGCCGUGUUUGUCAUCCCUCUAGAGAGCGUCUACCAUUCACUUGGCCAGACGGUGCUUAAAGCAGGCUCUCGCUCUGAAUACAUGCGUGGAAUAAUAAUUUGGGACUUCGGUUCUAUUUUGCUGGUUUCUAGGACGAAGUAAUGAUUGAUAGGGACAGUCGGGAGUGCUAGUAUUCCGCGGCCAGAGGUGAAAUUCUUGGAUUCGCGGAAGCCUAACUACUGCAUU